rnacentral:rRNA from 1 species
UACAGAGGGUGCAAGCGUUAAUCGGAAUUACUGGGCGUAAAGCGUGCGUAGACGGUUGCGUAAGUCAGAUGUGAAAGCCCCGGGCUCAACCUGGGAAUUGCAUUUGAGACUGCGUAGCUAGGGUGCGGAAGAGGGAAGCGGAAUUUCCGGUGUAGCGGUGAAAUGCGUAGAUAUCUGGAGGAACACCGGUGGCGAAGGCGGCAUCCUGGACCGACACUGACGCUCAUGCACGAAAGCGUGGGGAGCAAACAGG